rnacentral:rRNA from 1 species
UACGUAGGGGGCGAGCGUUGCUCGGAUUCACUGGGCGUAAAGCGCGCGUAGGCGGCUUGUUAAGUGGGAAGUUAAAGACCCCGGCUCAACCGGGGGGCUGCUUCUCAAACUGGCAAGCUCGAGUGUAGGAGAGGGAAGUGGAAUUCCUGGUGUAGCGGUGAAAUGCGUUGAUAUCAGGAGGAACACCAAUGGCGAAGGCAGCUUCCUGGCCUACUACUGACGCUGAGGCGCGAAAGCGUGGGGAGCGAACGGG